GACAUCGCUGGGGCGGACGAGAUUCUAGAAUCGUAAUCUUAUAUGUCCAUUCCGAAUGAAGUUGUGGAAGCAAUCAUAUUUAUGCUUUAACAGUUUAGGUCAUGGAAUUGCAAUGAUAAUCAUGCAUUAUAAGGUUGUCAGAUGGAGACGCUUGUGACAACCAGCGUCUGAAAUCCAAACAAUCAACAAUGUUUUGAUUGGACGAGCAAAGGACAUCGUUGACAAGACAUACCGAACGGAAUUCAAUGUUAAAAGAUGAAAGUUAUACGGAAAUCUAUUUAUGUAAUAAAAGAUAAAUCGAUUAUUAUUCUAUCGGUUUGGCAUCAUCUCAAUAUUGGUCUAAAGGGAGUUACAACAAAAUGGUCUAUUCGUUCGCAACAAACAAAUAAUUUUUAACAUAACAUGACUUUCAAUGAAAAUUUGGUUCGUUCAAAUAGACGUUUGAAAAAUAUUGAGGUUUAUUGAAGUUAAGAAUAAGUUUAAAAUCAAGCAUAAGUGGUGCUUAAUUGAUGGAUCUGAUAUAAAUCAAUUUGUUUUACAACACGUGAAAGAGCAACUCUGUUAACAACGAAAUAAAUAUCCAAACAUCAUCCUGCUUAUAUAACUUGUUAUUGGAAAGGAGCUGUUUAAGAUAAACUUAAAGUAUUAUAACCAGUAUUAUUCCUUGAAAUAAAGAAGUAUUUACCGAAAUGAAUUUCGGAUCCUUAAGUGGUCCCAUAUCUAUAAAGCGAUUCUACUCCGUAUACUUGACAGCAAUUUAUUAGACUCAAAUUAACAUUUGCCAUAGGUCUCUGUAUUCCGCCUAAGUGCGGACGUGUCAUUUUAUUGGAUCGAGGACGUCACUCAAGGUUUUUGACACACUGACUUCACUGACUAUCGUUAUUAUAGCACUCACCAGUGACCUUCAAAAGGUGAAAAACUUUUGAAUUUUGUGAUAAUGGAAAUUGUGGUAUUUGUAGUUUUAUUAAGCUGUUAGUCGAUAAUCGUUUAAAUUAAA